UACGUAGGGACCGAGCGUUGUCCGGAUUCAUUGGGCGUAAAGAGCUCGUAGGCGGCUGUUCAAGUCGAACGUGAAAACUCGGAGCUCAACUCCGAGCCUGCGUUCGAUACUGGACGGCUAGAGUCUGGUAGGGGGAUCUGGAAUUCCUGGUGUAGCGGUGGAAUGCGCAGAUAUCAGGAGGAACACCGGUGGCGAAGGCGGGAUCCUGGGCCAGUACUGACGCUGAGGAGCGAAGGCGUGGGGAGCGAACAGG
rnacentral:rRNA from 1 species